AGAAUCAACGCUGGCGGCGUGCCUAACACAUGCAAGUCGCACGAGAAAGGGGAGCAAUCCCUGAGUACAGUGGCGCACGGGUGAGUAACACGUGAAUGAUCUACCUCCGAGUGGGGAAUAACUGAGAGAAAUCUUGGCUAAUACCGCAUAAUACCCACGGGUCAAAGCAGCAAUGCGCUUGGAGAGGAGUUCGCGGCCGAUUAGCUAGGUUGGCGGGGUAAUGGCCCACCAAGGCGAUGAUCGGUA
rnacentral:rRNA from 1 species